AUUGAACGCUGGCGGCAGGCUUAACACAUGCAAGUCGAGCGGGGGAAGGUAGCUUGCUACUGGACCUAGCGGCGGACGGGUGAGUAAUGCUUAGGAAUCUGCCUAUUAGUGGGGGACAACAUCUCUAAAGGGAUGCUAAUACCGCAUACGUCCUACGGGAUAAAGCAGGGGAACUUCGGACCUUUCGCUAAUAGAUGAGCCCAAGUCGGAUUAGCUAGUUGGUGGGGUAAAGGCCUACCAAGGCGACGAUCUGUAGCGGGUCUGAGAGGAUGAUCCGCCACACUGGGACUGAGACACGGCCAAGACUCCUACGGGAGGCAGCAGUGGGGAAUAUUGGACAAUGGGGGGAACCCUGAUCCAGCCAUGCCGCGUGUGUGAAGAAGGCCUUAUGGUUGUAAAGCACUUUAAGCGAGGAGGAGGCUACUUUAGUUAAUACCUAGAGAUAGUGGACGUUACUCGCAGAAUAAGCACCGGCUAACUCUGUGCCAGCAGCCGCGGUAA
rnacentral:rRNA from 1 species